CCUUGUAAUACAUCCACAGGUACACCUCCAAUUGACCCAGAUGAUGUCAAUUAGCUUAUCAGAAGCUUCUAAAGACAUUGGCAUCAUUUUCUGGAAUUUUCCAAGCUGUUUAAAGGCACAGUCAACUUAGUGUAUGUAAACUUCUGACCCACUUGAAAUGUGAUACAGUUAAUUAUAAGUGAAAUAAUCUGUCUGUGAACAAUUGUUGGAAAAAUUACUUGUGUCAUGCACAAAGUAGAUGCCCUUACCGACUUGCCAAAACUAUAGUUUGUUAACAAGACAUUUGUGGAGUGGUUGAAAACGAGUUUUAAUGACUCCAACAUACAGUUGAAGUCAGAAGUAUGUAAACAGAAGUAUGUAAACUUCUGACUCCAACUGUAUGCAUAGUCACAUUACACCUUCCUACAUACACAUUUUACCUGAGUUACCUCCAGUAUAUAGCCUCGCUAUUGUUAUUUUAUUGUUACUUAUUUAAAUGUUUUUUUAUGUGAUUUAUUUAGAGUUUUUUAGCAAAUAUUUUCUUACUUUCAGCAAUGCAGUGUUUUGAAGGUAAGUGUUUCAUGGUAAGGUUGUAUUGUAACACCUGUUGUAUUUGGAGCAUGUGACAAAAAACAUUUCAUUUUAUUUGAUAUGAAACAAAUGUACAUUUCUCUUCUCAUCUCUUCUCAACAGGUUUGACCUCUCCUUUGGCCCCCAGCACAGCAGUGAAUCCUACAUCAGAUUUGACUGUUAGUCCUACUUUGACAACUGACACACCAAAGAGUCCAACUGAAAGAGGUCAAAGCUCCACAGACAGCAUUGUGAAUUCAAACAGUCAAAAAAGAGUUUGGGGUAAGUGUCCUUAUUUAGUAAUUCCACAGCAAAAAUGCACUUGUCUUUUUCUGCUAGCUCUGACUUUGCUGAUAACUACUUUGUUGAGGGAAAAUGUAC
rnacentral:lncRNA from 13 species